AGUCUGGAAAGUAACCGUAAAAGGUUCACCGACGGGGAUAACUAAGAGCGCGGUAAAAUCGCAUUCUUGGGAAACUCUCAGGUACAAAGACAGACGAG
rnacentral:ncRNA from 1 species